UGGGGAAUAUUGGACAAUGGGGGAAACCCUGAUCCAGCCAUGCCGCGUGAGUGAUGAAGGCCUUAGGGUUGUAAAGCUCUUUUACCAGGGAUGAUAAUGACAGUACCUGGAGAAUAAGCUCCGGCUAACUCCGUGCCAGCAGCCGCGGUAAUACGGAGGGAGCUAGCGUUGUUCGGAAUCACUGGGCGUAAAGCGCGCGUAGGCGGCUAUUUAAGUCAGAGGUGAAAGCCCGGGGCUCAACCCCGGAAUUGCCUUUGAAACUAGAUAGCUAGAAUCCGGGAGAGGUGAGUGGAAUUCCGAGUGUAGAGGUGAAAUUCGUAGAUAUUCGGAAGAACACCAGUGGCGAAGGCGACUCACUGGACCGGUAUUGACGCUGAGGUGCGAAAGCGUGGGGAGCAAACAGGAUUAGAUACCCCCGUAGUCC
rnacentral:rRNA from 1 species